rnacentral:rRNA from 1 species
UACGUAGGGGGCAAGCGUUGUCCGGAAUCAUUGGGCGUAAAGCGCGUGUAGGCGGUUCAGUAAGUCUGCUGUGAAAGUCCAGGGCUCAACCCUGGGAUGCCGGUGGAUACUGCUGGACUAGAGUGCGGAAGAGGCGAGUGGAAUUCCCGGUGUAGCGGUGAAAUGCGCAGAUAUCGGGAGGAACACCAAUUGCGAAGGCAGCUCGCUGGGACGUUACUGACGCUGAGACGCGAAAGCUAGGGGAGCGAACGGG